CGCGGGGUGGUGCAGUUGGCAGCUCGUCGGGCUCAUAACCCGAAGGUCGUAGGUUCAAGUCCUGCCUCCGCAACCA
rnacentral:tRNA from 1 species